rnacentral:rRNA from 1 species
GAGGGAGAAAGCCCGCAAGGGUUAGUAAACCGGCGAACGGGUGCGUAACACGUGGAUAAUCUACCCUGGAGACUGGGAUAACUCGCCGAAAGGCGAACUAAUACCAGAUAAGCCCACGGCCGCUACGGCGGCUGAGGGAAAAGGUGGCCUCUGCAUGCAAGCUAUCACUUCAGGAUGAGUCCGCGGCCCAUCAGCUAGUUGGCGGGGUAAAAGCCCACCAAGGCUACGACGGGUAGCUGGUCUGAGAGGAUGAUCAGCCACACUGGAACUGAGACACGGUCCAGACUCCUACGGGAGGCAGCAGUGGGGAAUCUUGCGCAAUGGGCGAAAGCCUGACGCAGCAACGCCGCGUGUGUGAUGAAGGUCUUCGGAUCGUAAAGCACUGUCGAGAGGGAAGAUACGCAACUGGCUAAUAUCCAGUUGCUGAGACGGUACCUCUAAAGGAAGCACCGGCUAACUCUGUG